CAGUAGCCGCGGUAAUACGUAGGGUGCAAGCGUUACUCGGAAUUACUGGGCGUAAAGCGUGCGUAGGUGGUGGUUUAAGUCCGUUGUGAAAGCCCUGGGCUCAACCUGGGAAUUGCAGUGGAUACUGGGUCACUAGAGUGUGGUAGAGGAUAGUGGAAUUUCCGGUGUAGCAGUGAAAUGCGUAGAGAUCGGAAGGAACAUCUGUGGCGAAGGCGACUAUCUGGGCCAACACUGACACUGAGGCACGAAAGCGUGGGGAGCAAACAGGAUUAGAUACCCCUGUAGUCCCUGUCUCUUAUAC
rnacentral:rRNA from 1 species